UCGCUUCUAAUGAUUGGAAAAUCUGUUUGUACUUCGUGUCAGAAACAGCGUGAGCGUUUGGAGUACAUCUGCAUGUCAGAAAUAUACCGGGGCAUCAGUUUACUGUCCGCAUCCACUGCAGAUAGUAUAUAUAAUGGGUUCUAUAUUGUUGUCUGUUCUCGAGUCGCGGCGCUCCGUGCCACUCGCGUCCGAGGAAGACACGUAAGCAGCGCGGUGGGGUUUUUUGCCAGGGCAUGAACCCGCAAGAGUGGAAGAGCUCCGGAGAACAUCUACGCUGUGUCUCGAUGCACCUUACGAGAGAAUAAGCAAGGCAACUGCAAUGAAGCAUCAAGAAAGACAUGAGCAGGCCAGCCACCUUGAGACUAAUAAUUUAUGAGAAGACAUUUCUGUCAAAGUGGACGGUGAGCAAAGAUGGUGGCCACGUUUUGGAGCAGCACCUGGGUUUUGCAGAGGGCUAUGUAUUUUUUGGCUGUUUGUCUUUUUCCCCAUUAUAUUUCUGUUGCCUAAAGAUUAUUUGUGAGGAUGAAUCCAGAGGACACAACAAAAUGCACUGCAAAAUGUCCUAAGACAGGAGAAAUGGUGAAGAUGCACUGUUCCAGCAUUGGAAAACAAAACAUAGAGAAAAAUCACUCACUACUCUUGACUGAAAAACGUUAAUACAGUUGAUUUAAUAGGAAUCAAUCUAUAUAGUGUUUUAUUUUUAUAUUGUUGAUUAAAUUUCUUGAAUGCUCCUGCUAAAUACACCUAUUGUAACACUGUUAUAUUUAUAUAUUAUGUGUAUUUGUAAUGUGUAUCUUUGUUCUCAUUUUUUAAUAACAAAGAUAAAAUAAUGACAGAUUUUUAUCUUCGCCCACUUUGGCCUAAAUAUCCACCAUUCUUUUUUAAUAUUUUUGUUAUCUUGAAAGGUUUUGUCUUUAUAAUAGGGAAAUUAGUUUGGCUGUAAUGCUCAGACAACUUGCAAAAUAGUAAAACCAACAUGACAAAGAAUCGUGAUAAAAUCGUGAAUCGUAAUUUUUCUUAAAAAUAUUGUGAUAUUAUAUUUUUG